ensembl:lncRNA
GCAUUGUGCUCUGUGGGACCCAGUUUGGGAAAAGCUGCCCUACUGGCUGGUCUGCAAACAGCUGCCGAGACAGAGCAGGGGGUCCAAGCAGGACAAGGCGCAUGAACAGGAACAGGGCUUGCGGGGGUCCUGGGCUGCAGCCCCUCAGCUCGUGGGCUCCCCGUCCUGUUUGCCCCCACUCUUCACUCCCUGCCUCAGGCUUGCAUUUAACACCUUCCCCUUCUUCCCUAGUGACCCCGAAUCUCCCUAAAAUCAUCGCCCUCCACCCCCUUCUCCGAUGGACACCCAGAGACCAGAGCCCCCAGCGCACUGCUCAGGGUGCCGGGCACGUCUGGCGCUUUGUAGUCGUGGGAUCACGUGAAUGUCUGUGCUCUGCCUGCCCCUCCUGCUGGCCUGUCAGCAGGGGCCGCAGUGUCACUGACCACAUACCUGGCAGGCUGGUGGGCCAGCUCCGAGGUGGGCAGAGCGCAGAGCUGUACCUGGGCCGCCCAUGCGCCGGGCCCAGGCCCAGACCCGGCCACCCUCCAGGGCUUGUGUACCAGCUUCUCCAGGGAUGCAUCUGUGGGUGGUAGACUCUGGUGGUUUCUGCAUGUUCUAAGAUCCUGGAGCCCAGGACGCGAGCCAGUGCCAUGAGACU